rnacentral:tRNA from 1 species
ACUUUAGCUCAGUUGGUAGAGCGACGCAUUCGUAAUGCGUAGGUCGCGAGUUCAAGUCUCACAAGU